rnacentral:rRNA from 1 species
UACAGAGGUCCCAAGCGUUGUUCGGAUUCACUGGGCGUAAAGGGUGCGUAGGUGGUUGGGUAAGUCUGAUGUGAAAUCUCCGGGCUCAACCCGGAAAUGGCAUUGGAUACUAUCCAGCUGGAGGGUCGGAGGGGGGACUGGAAUUCCUGGUGUAGCGGUGAAAUGCGCAGAUAUCAGGAGGAACACCAAUGGCGAAGGCAGCUCGCUGGGACGGUACUGACACUGAGACGCGAAAGCGUGGGGAGCAAACAGG